AUAUCAAUAAGCGGAGGAAAAGAAACCAACAGGGAUUGCCCCAGUAACGGCGAGUGAAGCGGCAACAGCUCAAAUUUGAAAUCUGGCCCCAGGCCCGAGUUGUAAUUUGCAGAGGAUGCUUUUGGUGAGGCCCCUACCGAGUCCCCUGGAAUGGGGCGCCACAGAGGGUGAGAGCCCCGUAUGGUUGGACGCCGAGCCUCUGUAAAGCUCCUUCGACGAGUCGAGUAGUUUGGGAAUGCUGCUCUAAAUGGGAGGUAAAUUUCUUCUAAAGCUAAAUACCGGCCAGAGACCGAUAGCGCACAAGUAGAGUGAUCGAAAGAUGAAAAGCACUUUGAAAAGAGGGUUAAAAAGUACGUGAAAUUGUUGAAAGGGAAGCGCUUGUGACCAGACUUGCGCCGGGCGGAUCAUCCAGCGUUCUCGCUGGUGCACUCCGCCCGGCUCAGGCCAGCAUCGGUUCUCGGCGGGGGACAAAGGCUUCGGGAACGUGGCCCUCUUCGGAGGGUGUUAUAGCCCGUUGCGUAAUACCCCGGCGGGGACCGACGACCGCGCUUCGGCAAGGAUGCUGGCGUAAUGGUCAUCAGCGACCC
rnacentral:rRNA from 1 species